rnacentral:rRNA from 1 species
AAAUGAAUAGACGGGGACCCGCACAAGCGGUGGAGCAUGUGGUUUAAUUCGAAGCAACGCGAAGAACCUUACCAAGUCUUGACAUCUAACUGACAGGCUGUUAACCCAGCCAUUCCUUCGGGACAGUUAAGACAGGUGGUGCAUGGUUGUCGUCAGCUCGUGUCGUGAGAUGUUGGGUUAAGUCCCGCAACGAGCGCAACCCUUAUCUUUAGUAGCCAGCGAGUAGAGUCGGGCACUCUAGAGAGACUGCCGGGGAUAACCCGGAGGAAGGUGGGGAUGACGUCAAAUCAUCAUGCCCCUUAUGAUUUGGGCUACACACGUGCUACAAUGGCGUAAACAAAGGGAGGCGACCCUGUGAAGGUGAGCAAAUCCCAAAAAUAACGUCUCAGUUCGGAUUGUAGUCUGCAACUCGACUACAUGAAGCUGGAAUCGCUAGUAAUCGCGGAUCAGAAUGCCGCGGUGAAUACGUUCCCGGGUCUUGUACACACCGCCCGU